UCAUCCCUCAAGUCUCCCAGGCAUCCUUCCAUAUGACGUUGAAAAGCAGCCGGGGCAUUUGAGAGUCCAAAUGGGAUUCUGAUCCACUCAUAAAGUCCCCACGGUGUUAUGAAGGCUGUACAAGGUCUGCUCUUCUCACUCAUGAAGCCUUGAUGGUAUGCUUUGCCCUGGUCCAAGACAGUGAACCAGGAAUUUCCUCCCAAGUUUUCCAGAAUUUCUUGGAUUCUGGGGAUGGGAUGACGGUCUGGGAGGGUCUUCUCAUUCAGCAACCUGUAGUCUAUGCACAAACGGAGAGUGCCAUCCUUUUUCCUGACGCAAACAACAGGUUAUAAGCUGCAGUCAUCUUCUCCAACAGGACUUCAUCUGCGAUUUUUGGGAUUUGCAGCAAAAUGUAUUUGCUGUCUCAGAUCCAUGACUCGAACCAAAAACUGAACUGGAGUUUCUCUAGGUUCUUGUGCAGCACGAGUGGGAGAAUGAUACAACUCAGUGGCGUCCUUUUCAACAAAAUGAGUCCUCAAUAUCUGUUUAAGAGAGUGCAGUGACAAAUCCUCUCUAAUUUCAAGGUAACUUCUCAGUUUUGUGCCAGGGGUUAUAGCUUGAAUGACUGCAUCCACAAUUUCACAUUCAUCAUAUCCUUUUUUUAAUGCUCGAGUAAUUUGUCUUUCCAAACUAGCGUAUCCCAGCUUAUCCUUUUGAUUAUGUUCACCAAUUUGUCCAUUAAUUUUCAAAUCUUUUCUGUACAUUGGGUGAACAGUUCGAGCCCUUUCAGGCAGGUUCAUGGCAGUAGCAGAGAGAGUUGCAAACGUAUGCUGUCUUACUGCAGAGUCAGUUUUUGGUGCAGUACCACCUGUAUCCGCUAAAGGGCGGCGUGGCGACGUGGGACCGGACAUGGAUAGGGUUCUCAGUUCAUCUAUUUUAUCAUUUAUCUCCAGUAAUAAGGACAUUCCUUCAUCUUCAAGCGAUGUGACAUCAUCACCCUCUAAAUGCUGGAGGAUGAAUCUUCUUAAUUUACGAGGCGAGCCCUUAUCUUUAUCAUUAAUAGCAAUCCCAAGUGUCUCAGUACAAAGCUCAACAAGUCUCAAAAUAGGUAAGGUGAUUAGCUUUUCUUCAAUUCUUUCCAACAUGUCUUCCCAGCCAGAGGACAUUUGCUGGUAUGGGACAGACAUUAUUGGAAAAGUCUUUUACCUUGGCUCUGCUGAUGGGUGACGUUGUGAUCUGUAGUGUUUGAUUAGCCACAGUUAGCAUUAGCUCCACACUAGCUCUGUGUUAGCGUCCCUUGUAAUCCACUCAAAAUGCACACACGAGCUCCAGCAGCAUCUUUAACAUCCAUAACUUAAUCCAACCUGGCAGAAACUCCAAGAUUUGUGUUGUUGCACCCUUGAAAUGAACAAGAAUGAAUCCUCUUUUCUUUACCUUUAUUUUGAGCUCAGAUAUUUAAAAGAUAUACAAGUUCCGCAACAACCAGGUCAA